rnacentral:piRNA from 1 species
UUCCCUGGGCUUGUUUAUGCCAUGAAGCAU